rnacentral:lncRNA from 1 species
UUUAAGAACUAUGUGAUUGAUCAUCUCGACAUCGAAAUGUAUGACUAUGAAAAAUAAAAAGAUUUUGAAUCUCAUAAAUAGUACAUCUUACAACAAAUUAUCUACACCGUCCAUUUUUAAGUUUUUUAUAUGUUUAUAGAUCUACUUGAUUUUAACUAUUUUUGAAAUUUAAAAUUUUAUAAUUAAAUAUAAAAAUAAAUUUUGAGAUAAUCCUAAAAACAUUUUACAUCAAAAUUAUAUAUUAUGAUAAAAUUUGAAGGUACACCUUAGUUGGAUUGUUUAAGGUUGCAACCUUAUGGAAACCACAUCGUUUUUUUAAAUUUUAUUAGUUUUGGUUUUAAGUUGAAUUUAACUGGUAUAGCCGGUCUUAAAAAAAGAUGCCAUUUUUGUCCAACUUUCUACCGAUCCACAAUUUGAAGGGACCUCUAAUCUGCCACUAAUAAGAGAGUUUGCACCAGAAAAAGUGGGAUGAAUAACCAAAUCUCCUUUUCAGCCUCUAACCCAUUUAACAAGUAAUGCUUAUAUUUUUCAAGUUUACCCUUAAACCUUUUUUUUACCUAUAAAAGCCCUUUGGUCUCUCUGUACUUGGACCCUUUUUUCCUAGAAAAACCCAAGACUCCUCUUUUUGUUUUUUUUUUCUUUUUUUUUCCUCUCUCUCUAUUCUUGCACACCGCCUGGUCUCAUUUGCAUCUUCCAAAACGAGCUCGGGAUCCAAUCAACCGGAAAAAAGAUUUCAGCGACCAUAUUGUUGCGCAC